GACGAACGCUGGCGGCGUGCCUAAUACAUGCAAGUAGAACGCUGAAGCUUGGUGCUUGCACCGAGCGGAUGAGUUGCGAACGGGUGAGUAACGCGUAGGUAACCUGCCUGGUAGCGGGGGAUAACUAUUGGAAACGAUAGCUAAUACCGCAUAAAAUGGAUUAUCGCAUGAUAAUCCAUUGAAAGGUGCAAAUGCAUCACUACCAGAUGGACCUGCGUUGUAUUAGCUAGUUGGUGGGGUAACGGCUCACCAAGGCGACGAUACAUAGCCGACCUGAGAGGGUGAUCGGCCACACUGGGACUGAGACACGGCCCAGACUCCUACGGGAGGCAGCAGUAGGGAAUCUUCGGCAAUGGACGGAAGUCUGACCGAGCAACGCCGCGUGAGUGAAGAAAGUUUUCGGAUCGUAAAGCUCUGUUGUAAGAGAAGAACGAGUGUGAGAGUGGAAAGUUCACACUGUGACGGUACCUUACCAGAAA
rnacentral:rRNA from 1 species